AGGCUGACGAGUCCCAAAUAGGACGAAAUGCGCAUCCUGGAU
rnacentral:hammerhead_ribozyme from 1 species